ACGGAAGGCAGCAGUGGGGAAUAUUGGGCAAUGGGCGAAAGCCUGACCCAGCAACGCCGCGUGAAGGAAGAAGGUCUUCGGAUUGUAAACUUCUUUUAUGUGGGACGAACAAAUGACGGUACCACAUGAAUAAGCCACGGCUAACUACGUGCCAGCAGCCGCGGUAAUACGUAGGUGGCAAGCGUUAUCCGGAUUUACCGGGUGUAAAGGGCGUGUAGCCGGGUCGGCAAGUCAGAUGUGAAAUCCACGGGCUUAACUCGUGAACUGCAUUUGAAACUGUUGAUCUUGAGUAUCGGAGAGGCAAUCGGAAUUCCUAGUGUAGCGGUGAAAUGCGUAGAUAUUAGGAGGAACACCAGUGGCGAAGGCGGAUUGCUGGACGACAACUGACGGUGAGGCGCGAAAGCGUGGGGAGCAAACAGGAUUAGAUACCCUGGUA
rnacentral:rRNA from 1 species